ACGCUCGACACCUAGGCAGCAGUGAGGAAUAUUGGUCAAUGGGCGCUAGCCUGAACCAGCCAAGUAGCGUGAAGGAUGAAGGCUCUAUGGGUCGUAAACUUCUUUUAUAUAAGAAUAAAGUGCAGUAUGUAUACUGUUUUGUAUGUAUUAUAUGAAUAAGGAUCGGCUAACUCCGUGCCAACAGCCGCGGUAAUCUGAGCGGGCUGGCAAGGC
rnacentral:rRNA from 1 species